GCGGGGAUAGCUCAGUUGGGAGAGCGUCAGACUGAAGAUCUGAAGGUUGCGUGUUCGAUCCAUGCUAAACGCA
rnacentral:tRNA from 1 species